GAAUAUUGGACAAUGGGGGGCACCCUGAUCCAGCCAUGCCGCGUGGGUGAAGAAGGCCUUUUGGUUGUAAAGCACUUUAUGCGCGGAGGAGGCUACUUAGAUUAAUACUAUUGGAUAGUGGACGUUACUCGCAGACUCAGGCCCGGCCAACUCUGUGCCAGCCGCCUGGGUAAUACAGAGGGUGCAAGCGUUAAUCGGAUUUACUGGGCGUAAAGCGCGCGUAGGUGGCCAAUUAAGUCAAAUGUGAAAUCCCCGAGCUUAACUUGGGAAUUGCAUUCGAUACUGGUUGGCUAGAGUAUGGGAGAGGAUGGUAGAAUUCCAGGUGUAGCGGUGAAAUGCGUAGAGAUCUGGAGGAAUACCGAUGGCGAAGGCAGCCAUCUGGCCUAAUACUGACACUGAGGUGCGAAAGCAUGGGGAGCAAACA
rnacentral:rRNA from 1 species